GUCAACUUAGCACCAUCGUCGCUAGAUUUAUGGACUUUUCACACGCAACUAUUUCACAAAAGCAACUAGCAACAAAUCUAGCUCCUUUUUGGGAAAAACCUCAACUACUUUCCAUAGAAGAAAGUCGCCAGAAUUGCCCACGCAAGCGCAAGGUCUUUCAUCAUACUGGACACAUCGUUCUGACGACUGGAAAAGACGAGGGAGAGGAAAACUACAAGAAUCAAAUGCUCCUUUGAAAACAGGCAAAGUGAAAACACUGACAGCUGAUGGAAAGCUGACAGCCUCCUCUGAGGGGAAUUACUACUGUUGAUCUUUCUCACAAGUGCAGUAAGAUGAUU